ensembl:lncRNA
UGGGGAUGGCAGGAAAAUAUCCCCGUGGUCCUGAUGUCCUUUUGGGGUGCCAAUUCCUGGUUUGGAAGCUCCCAGAAAUCCACCUCAGACCCUGCCUGGCCAGGGCUCGGCUUGGAAGGCAGAACAGGAUCCCGAGAUAAAAAUCUCCCACCCCGCCGGCGAUUCUCCUUUCAGAUGAGCCGGAUUCCAGGAGCUCAGGGGCAAAACAAGCUCAGCUCAUGUAAAAUGGAUGUUCGGGAGGAAGGAGAGCGCUGUAAAACGAGACCCUGCAACAACAGAAGCGAUUCCCAGGCCUUUGCCAAAGGGAAUUGCUGCGGUCUGGGAGGGAACCGGGGUGUGGGGUUUCCUUCAGGACGUGGCAGAACUCGCAAAAACCCAAAGCGAUGGUGGAGAGAAAAGGACUGCAGGGAGCUCUUCUUGCCCUGGAAUCCCUGAGCCGACAAAACCUUUUUGUUUUUUUCCCCAUUUGAGUGCUGAGGAAGCUGUGGAGAAUUCCUCGCGAAUAAACAGGAUCACAUCAAAGGAAUACCUGACGCCACCAUCAAAGCAAGGUGUGAGAGCAGUCGCUGGCUGCUGCCUCGACUCCAAGUUAAUCUCCCUAAUUCCAGGUUGGAUUUUGCAGAAUUUAAGACGAGGAGGAAGGGAGGAGGGAACACCCCGGACCUGAGCAGGGAGGCGGCCGAGAGGAAGAAGAGAGGAGGAGGAGGAGGAGGAUCAGCUCAGCUCCGGAAGGUGAAAUCCCUGGCAAGUGUCAUGGGGGGAAAUCCAGCACUGUCAGCACCCCAGGGAUGGCGGAGAUCGGAGAUUUUCCCUCAGGGAAAAAUCUGGGAAUGAGGAGGAGUCCAAAAAUCUGGGAGUGAGGCGGACACCAAACCCACCUGGGCUGGUUGCUCUGUAAAAAUGAUUUACACCUAAAUUAUUUUCACUCUGAGGGAAUCAUCCCAGACAUUACUGUGGGUGGGAACUGUCAGUGCAGAAAGUGACCCCGUUAUUUAUUUAUAGUGACCCUGUACAUUUAUUAAUUUAUUUACAGUGACCCUAUAAAUUUAUUAAUUUCUUUACAGUGACCCUAUAAAUUUAUUUAUUUACUGCAUGGUGCGGAGGUUCAGGGACACCACAGCAUAAACAAUAUGAUCCAGUGAAGCCAAAUUUCUUAUCCCUAAAAUAAUAAUAAUAAUAGUAAUAAUAAUAGUAAUAGUAAUAGUAAUAGUAAUAGUAAUAAUAAUAAUAAUAAUAAUAAUUUGUUAUAAUUUAUAUUUUAUAAUAAUUAAUAUUAUAUUUAUUAUUAUAUUUAUAGUAAAUCUCUACUGUCCACACCUCUCUAGCUAAUACAUGAUUGGUUAAUCCAGGCUGUUCACACCUCCACAUUAGAAUGCUGAUUGGAUCGUCUCAUUUUUCUUGCUGUGCUUGUCUGGCCCACCCAUGGCUCACUUUUUUCUCACUUUCCCAAACCUUGCUGACAAACUUGCUGAGUUUUAAAUUUAUUUAUUUACUGUGGGGUGUGGAGGUUCAGGGACAUAGGGACAUCACACCAUAACCAAUGUGAUCCAGUGAAGUCAAAUUUCUUAUCCAUAAAAAGAGAAUUUAUUAUUUUAUUAUUAUUAUUAUAUUAAUUAUAUAUAUAUAUAUAUAUAUAAUAUUUAAAAUAAAUCUCUACUGUCAAUACA